rnacentral:rRNA from 1 species
UGCGAAGGCAGGUCACUAAGUCUUAACUGACCCUUAUGGACAAAAGCGUGGGGAGCGAACAGGAUUAGAUACCCUGGUAGUCCACGCCGUAAACGAUGAUUACUCGUUUUUGGGUUUUAUGAUUCAGAGACUAAGCGAAAGUGAUAAGUAAUCCACCUGGGGAGUACGUUCGCAAGAAUGAAACUCAAAGGAAUUGACGGGGGCCCGCACAAGCGGUGGAGCAUGUGGUUUAAUUCGAUGAUACGCGAGGAACCUUACCAAGACUUAAAUGGGAAAUGACAGAUUUAGAAAUAGAUCCUUCUUCGGACAUUUUUCAAGGUGCUGCAUGGUUGUCGUCAGCUCGUGCCGUGAGGUGUUAGGUUAAGUCCUGCAACGAGCGCAACCCCUGUCACUAGUUGCUAACAUUAAGUUGAGGACUCUAGUGAGACUGCCUACGCAAGUAGAGAGGAAGGUGGGGAUGACGUCAAAUCAUCACGGCCCUUACGUCUUGGGCCACACACGUGCUACAAUGGCCGGUACAGAGGGCAGCUACCUAGCGAUAGGAUGCAAAUCUCGAAAGCCGGUCUCAGUUCGGAUUGGAGUCUGCAACUCGACUCUAUGAAGCUGGAAUCGCUAGUAAUCGCGCAUCAGCCAUGGCGCGGUGAAUACGUUCCCGGGCCUUGUACACACCGCCCGUCAAGCCAUGGAAGCUGGGGGUACCUGAAGUCGGUGACCGU